rnacentral:tRNA from 1 species
GGGGCUGUAGCUCAGCUGGGAGAGCACUUGCAUGGCAUGCAAGGGGCCGAGGGUUCAAACCCCUCCAGCUCCACCA